ACCGGUCUUCACGGACGUCGCCGCUCUUCGCUAUCGCCGCCACCGCUGCUCCUCCUCGUCUCUGUUGGAUCUCACCGCCAGAUGUCGCCGCUGCUCCUCUUCCUGGAUCGACGUCGGCGCCAGCAGAUCCGCGAGGGUGGACGUCGUGCGCCGGUCGCCGUUUCUGUUCCUCCUCCUUGCUCGGCCGCCGAGGUCGCUGCUCUGGCCGGUUUCUAGUUUCUGGUUUCUUGUGGUUUCUUUUGGUUCUACUGCUUCUGCAUGCUUAUGAUUAUCAAUCUGGUUUCUGUGUUGUUGUUGUUCUUUUGAUUCCAUUAUCGAUUGAGUUCUAAGUUAUGGGUUUUCGUUUUUCUGAUUUUGGAUUCUGAGUUUUGACGAUGACGAUGAUUUUGAAUUCUGGGUUGUUGUUCUUCUAUUAUUGUUGUUCUUCUAUUUCUUGCUAUUUUUAUUGUUGUUUGUUUGAGUUUAGAUGAUGAUUUUUUGAGUUUU
rnacentral:lncRNA from 1 species